rnacentral:rRNA from 2 species
CUAUACAUGCAGUCGAGCGGAUCUCUUCGGAGAUCAGCGGCGGACGGGUGAGUAACACGUGGGCAACCUGCCUGUAAGACUGGGAUAACUCCGGGAAACCGGAGCUAAUACCGGAUACUAUGUCAAACCGCAUGGUUUGACAUUCAAAGACGGUUUCGGCUGUCACUUACAGAUGGGCCCGCGGCGCAUUAGCUAGUUGGUGAGGUAAUGGCUCACCAAGGCGACGAUGCGUAGCCGACCUGAGAGGGUGAUCGGCCACACUGGGACUGAGACACGGCCCAGACUCCUACGGGAGGCAGCAGUAGGGAAUCUUCCGCAAUGGACGAAAGUCUGACGGAGCAACGCCGCGUGAGUGAUGAAGGUUUUCGGAUCGUAAAACUCUGUUGUCAGGGAAGAACAAGUGCCGGAGUAACUGCCGGCACCUUGACGGUACCUGACCAGAAAGCCACGGCUAACUACGUGCCAGCAGCCGCGGUAAUACGUAGGUGGCAAGCGUUGUCCGGAAUUAUUGGGCGUAAAGCGCGCGCAGGCGGUUUCUUAAGUCUGAUGUGAAAGCCCCCGGCUCAACCGGGGAGGGUCAUUGGAAACUGGGAAACUUGAGUGCAGAAGAGGAGAGUGGAAUUCCACGUGUAGCGGUGAAAUGCGUAGAGAUG